UACAGAGGUGGCAAGCGUUGUUCGGAAUUACUGGGCGUAAAGGGCGCGUAGGCGGCCUUCUAAGUCAGACGUGAAAUCCCCCGGCUUAACCUGGGAACUGCGUCUGAUACUGGAUGGCUUGAGUUUGGGAGAGGGAUGCGGAAUUCCUGGUGUAGCGGUGGAAUGCGCAGAUAUCAGGAGGAACACCGAUGGCGAAGGCAGGUCUCUGGGCCGCAACUGACGCUGAGGAGCGAAAGCAUGGGGAGCGAACAGG
rnacentral:rRNA from 1 species